CCUACGGGAGGCAGCAGUAGGGAAUCUUCCUCAAUGGGGGAAACUCUGACGCAGCAACGCCGCGUGGAGGAUGAAGGUUUUAGGAUCGUAAACUCCUUUUGUUAGAGAAGAUUAUGACGGUAUCUAACGAAUAAGCACCGGCUAACUCCGUGCCAGCAGCCGCGGUAAUACGGAGGGGGCAAGCGUUACUCGGAAUCACUGGGCGUAAAGAGUGCGUAGGCGGGGUAAUAAGUCAGAUGUGAAAUCCCGUAGCUUAACUACAGAACUGCAUUUGAAACUGUUACUCUGGAGUGUGGGAGAGGUAGGUGGAAUUCUUGGUGUAGGGGUAAAAUCCGUAGAGAUCAAGAGGAAUACUCAUUGCGAAGGCGACCUGCUGGAACAUUACUGACGCUGAUGCACGAAAGCGUGGGGAGCAAACAGGAUUAGAUACCCCAGUAGUC
rnacentral:rRNA from 1 species